AGAGUGGACCUUAUACACAGAAGAACAGCAUUAGAAGUCACUACUACAGGAUAUAGGGAACCAGCUGAGAAAAUCGAAGCACAGAGAAGUUAACCAGUCCGUUAUCACUGCACCUGGGUGGCACUGUUGGAAUAAGCACAAGUAAUCAUCACUCUCCCAGCCAGGAUUCAUAACCAGCAGAACAGGCUGCGUAUCUUCAAGAGGAACUCAUGAGGGCUAGGUUGGAUGCAGUCAUCAGCGGUAAUGCAUGGAUUUGGUCACCAUCCCUGGAAGUGACUCACCUGAGCCCUUGAUAGAGGACUGAUUCACUAUUUCUCAAUGGAAUGCCCAAAGGUCAAAGUUCUACCUGGCCUGUGUUGAAGGUACUGUAACAACAUGGCUCAAGGACACCACAACUUCCUGAACACCCUUAGCAACAGGAAGACCACUGGCCGGCCACAGGAUGCUUGAGUGCAGAGAGAGCCAGGAUACAAAGGAAGUCUAAUCCUGAUAAGGACAGCGAAUUGCUCACUGAGAGAAGGUGCUUAAGACAACGAAGCAACUUGGAGCGUCUUUUCACAGGAAGAGAUGAGUCGUCAGCGAAUUGCGAAUUGCGAUCAGAGCCACGUCCAUCAGCUUCUGGAUCUUCUGCACCAUUACGAGUUAAGUGUUCGCUGACCGCCUGGGGGUCCUUCUGCCUCUGCUCCAGGAGGAGUCGCAUGGCUGGGUCACUCAUUACCUGCUGCACGCCGGGGUCAGCCACGGCCCGUCGCUUCACAUCCUCAGGGCUGUCGUGUGUGUUGUACUGAGCCAUCAUACAGCGCUCGUAUCCAGCUGCAGCCUCCUUACAGCUGGAAUCCAGGUCCAGUGCUUUCUGGUACACAUCCAUGGCCUUUGCGUAGUCCUUCAUGGCUUCCAGGGCAGCGGCUUUCCGGGUAUAACCCUUGAUGAAGGUCGGCU
rnacentral:lncRNA from 1 species